CCCUUAGAUGUUCUGGGCCGCACGCGCGCUACACUGUUCGACGCAGCGAGUCUUAACCUUGACCGAAAGGUUUGGGUAAUCUUCAGCAAAGUCGAACGUGAUGGGGAUCGAUCAUUGCAAUUAUUGAUCGUGAACGAGGAAUUCCUAGUAAGUGCGAGUCAUCAGCUUGCGCUGAUUACGUCCCUGCCCUUUGUACACACCGCCCGUCGCUACUACCGAUUGAAUGGUUUAGUGAGAUCUCUGGAUUGACGCUGGCUAGGGGGCGACCCUUGGCCAGACUGCUCGAGAAACUGCUCAAACUUGAUCAUUUAGAGGAAGUAAAAGUCGUAACA
rnacentral:rRNA from 1 species